UACGAAGGGUGCAAGCGUUAAUCGGAAUUACUGGGCGUAAAGCGUGCGUAGGCGGUUGUUUAAGUCUGCUGUGAAAUCCCCGGGCUCAACCUGGGAAUGGCAGUGGAUACUGGACAGCUAGAGUGUGUCAGAGGAUGGUGGAAUUCCCGGUGUAGCGGUGAAAUGCGUAGAGAUCGGGAGGAACAUCAGUGGCGAAGGCGGCCAUCUGGGACAACACUGACGCUGAAGCACGAAAGUGUGGGGAGCAAACAGG
rnacentral:rRNA from 1 species